CGCAGCUUCUCUCUCUCGCACCUUCUCUCUCGCUGUCUCUCUCUUCCUCUCUCUGAUCUCUCCACCCACCUCGAGCUCUCUCUCGCAUCCUCUCCCUCCUCUGUCUCUCUGUAUCUCUCUUCCUCUCUCUCUGAACUCUCUCGGGGGGCCCGUUGCCGAACGCCCUACACACGGCAGUAGGGGUAGGGAUUUGGGGACCGUGAGGAUUAGGGACUUCAUUGAAUGGGCUCAGUGUCUUUUAUUGACUUGGUCUCCAGAUAUAUCCCCUCAUAUAGCAAUGAGAUAUUUAACUUUACCAGUAGUGUCUGAUUACUUCUGUUUGACUUUUCAAAUGGGUAGUACUAUGGCUGCUUGUGAUUGUAGUAAUUCGAAUCCUACUUUCCCCAUAUUUGUCUUGAUUCAGGUUUUUGGUCAUGUUGAUUCAAGUUUUUAUUUUUACUUAUAUCCAUAUUUUGUUGUUGAAGCAUGUAUGUUUCUGGAUCUGUUCAUUUAUUUGUACAUUUAGUUUUCUUAGCUUGAUUCUAUUGCCACUUUUUUUUUGUCAUGUCUUCUAUAUGGAACUAAUUAGCACAAUAUGAUCCAAUAGUCUAUCCCAACACACCCUCACUGCCUAAGCAAUACAAGCACAUCACCACAAUAUGAUCCAACAGUAUCCAAACACACCCUCAUUGCCUAAGCAAUACAAGCACAUCAAUUCUUUUCAUUCCAAACCAACAGUCACCGACGUCCUUGACUUCCCAGACACAUUCACUGAAAAAGAAAAA